rnacentral:rRNA from 1 species
GACGAACGCUGGCGGCGUGCUUAACACAUGCAAGUCGAGCGGUAAGGCCCUUUCGGGGGUACACGAGCGGCGAACGGGUGAGUAACACGUGGGUGACCUGCCCUCAGCUCUGGGAUAAGCCUGGGAAACCGGGUCUAAUACCGGAUAUGACUCCAUGACGCAUGUUGUGGGGUGGAAAGCCUUGUGCGGCUGAGGAUGGGCCCGCGGCCUAUCAGCUUGUUGGUGGGGUGAUGGCCUACCAAGGCGACGACGGGUAGCCGGCCUGAGAGGGCGACCGGCCACACUGGGACUGAGACACGGCCCAGACUCCUACGGGAGGCAGCAGUGGGGAAUCUUGCGCAAUGGGCGAAAGCCUGACGCAGCAACGCCGCGUGGGGAUGAAUGCCUU